CAGCCAUGAGAAACCAGAGGUUCCCAGUGAGAGUGUGGGUCCCAGGGAGAGGCCAGGCCAUGGGCAAAGUCACCCAGAGCACCUGAUCCUGGAGGUCAUGGGCACAGGUAAAGGCUCCAGAAGAUAACCAGAAGUUUUCCAGGACGGGUAAACUUAAGUGACAGAUGAAAAGGGACGCGUAGGAGCCUGCCUGGAAGGUCAAGACACGGGUCAAACCAGAGAGGAGAGGGCCGAACAAAGUCUGAGGGCUGCCACAGUCCAGAAGAUACGAGAAAGUCAAGUCGUGAGACGGGAGGAAAGGACCUGGGCAGAGCAAGGUCUCCACCAUUAAUGCCGCAGCGAGGAGAGGCAUCCGGGCAGGAAGAGGAAUGAACGUGCUUUCACUCGGCUUCCUGCUUGAGGACCAAGAUGUGAGCUCUCAGCAUCCUGUGCCACCAUGCCCGAUGCUUUCCCACCAUAACGGACUCUUGACCUUUGAAACAAGAACCUGUGACUAUCAGAGCAGGAAAGGACCCUCUAAAAUACCCGACUCAAAGUUCUGCUUUCACAGAUAUACAAAAUAGAGCUGGUGGGGGUGGUCCCCCAUGCCAACUCACUGGCAUUAAACAAGAGAUAACCAGAAAACCAGGCAAGUCCUGAGACAUGAAUACCAGGGAAACC